UGCCUUUAUGUGUUGCCCUUUCAUUGUUCCUGUAGUGAUCGGGGUGUCAAACAAGGCAUACAGUGACACUUGUGUUUGUCUGUGAAUGAGCUUCCAGUGACUCCUUUAAACAAACAGCUGCAAGGACACAC